CUGGCGGCGUGCCUAAUACAUGCAAGUAGAACGCUGAAGCUUGGUGCUUGCACCGAGCGGAUGAGUUGCGAACGGGUGAGUAACGCGUAGGUAACCUGCCUCUUAGCGGGGGAUAACUAUUGGAAACGAUAGCUAAUACCGCAUAAAAGUCGAUAUCGCAUGAUAUUGAUUUGAAAGGUGCAAUUGCAUCACUAAGAGAUGGACCUGCGUUGUAUUAGCUAGUUGGUGAGGUAACGGCUCACCAAGGCGACGAUACAUAGCCGACCUGAGAGGGUGAUCGGCCACACUGGGACUGAGACACGGCCCAGACUCCUACGGGAGGCAGCAGUAGGGAAUCUUCGGCAAUGGGGGCAACCCUGACCGAGCAACGCCGCGUGAGUGAAGAAGGUUUUCGGAUCGUAAAGCUCUGUUGUAAGAGAAGAACGAGUGUGAGAGUGGAAAGUUCACACUGUGACGGUAACUUACCAGAAAGGGACGGCUAACUACGUGCCAGCAGCCGCGGU
rnacentral:rRNA from 1 species